rnacentral:rRNA from 1 species
UGCCUAACACAUGCAAGUCGAACGGUAACAGGAAUAGCUUGCUAUUUGCUGACGAGUGGCGGAUGGGUGAGUAAUGUAUAGGAACUUGCCUAGUAGUGGGGGACAACUUAUGGAAACGUAAGCUAAUACCGCAUAAUCUCUACGGAGGAAAGUGGGGGACCUUUCGGGGCCUCACGCUAUUAGAUAGGCCUAUAUCAGAUUAGCUAGUUGGUGAGGUAAUGGCUCACCAAGGCGACGAUCUGUAGCUGGUUUGAGAGAAUGAUCAGCCACACUGGGACUGAGACACGGCCCAGACUCCUACGGGAGGCAGCAGUGGGGAAUAUUGCACAAUGGAGGAAACUCUGAUGCAGCAAUGCCGCGUGUGUGAAGAAGGCCUUAGGGUUGUAAAGCACUUUCAAUAGGGAGGAAAAGUUAGUAGUUAAUAACUGCUAGCCGUGACGUUACCUAUAGAAGAAGGACCGGCUAACUCCGUGCCAGCAGCCGCGGUAAUACGGAGGGUCCGAGCGUUAAUCGGAAUUACUGGGCGUAAAGCGCGCGUAGGCGGUUUACUCAGUCAGAUGUGAAAGCCCCGGGCUCAACCUGGGAACUGCAUUUGAUACUGGUAGGCUAGAGUAUGGUAGAGGUGAGUGGAAUUUCAGGUGUAGCGGUGAAAUGCGUAGAGAUCUGAAGGAACAUCAGUGGCGAAGGCGACUCACUGGGCCAUUACUGACGCUGAGGUGCGAAAGCGUGGGUAGCAAACAGGAUUAGAUACCCUGGUAGUCCACGCCCUAAACGAUGUCAACUAGGUGUGUGAGAGUUUAUCUCUUGCGUAUCGAAGCUAACGCGAUAAGUUGACCGCCUGGGGAGUACGGUCGCAAGACUAAAACUCAAAUGAAUUGACGGGGGCCCGCACAAGCGGUGGAGCAUGUGGUUUAAUUCGAUGCAACGCG